CAGAGAUGUUUUCUGCUCCAGAGGUUUGAGUCCUAGCACUGCAUGUUGGGAAGAAUGACAUUUGAAAGAAUUCUUCUAUUCUUCAGUGCAGAUUCUUAUUUCUAUAUGAGAAGGAAAACUGAUAUGGGAGGAAGGCUUAUAUACCUGACUUUUUAAAAGACCCAAUGAGCAUCACGCAACAUGAGUGACCUCACUUGAAGUAAAGAUAUCCAGUAUCAGAAGACUAUGAACAUCAACCUGAUGACUGAUGAAUUCUGGAAGCUGAAGUCCAUACAUCUUCAAUCUGUGAAGGUUGAGAAACACUGGGAGCAAACCAUUUUUUCUAGCACAAGGCAGUGACACUUUGCCAUUUGGGAAUCCAUAUGGGACAAGCUGGGGAAAAAAAAACCCUUAUCUCAUCAGUGGGUUCAUCUUACCAUCAGUAGCAGGACAAUAUGCCUUCUUACAGGGGAAGGACAGGAUGGUGCAACACUGAAAUGGCUCCUAGUAUCCACAAGAAUUGUAACUUUUAUUAUAAUUUCAUUGUUUCAGACA